rnacentral:rRNA from 1 species
GAUGAACGCUGGCGGCGUGCCUAAUACAUGCAAGUCGAGCGAACGGACGAGAAGCUUGUUCCUCUGCUGUUAGCGGCGGACGGGUGAGUAACACGUGGAUAACCUACUUAUAAGUCUGGGAUAACUUCGGGAAACUGGUGCUAAUACUGGAUCAUAUUUUGUACCGCAUGGUUCAAAAGUGAUUGACGGUUUUGCUGUCACUUAUAGAUGGAUCCGCGUUGCAUUAGCUAGUUGGUAAGGUAACGGCCUACCAAGGCAACGAUGCGUAGCCGACCUGAGAGGAUGAUCAGCCACACUGGAACUGAGACACGGUCCAGACUCCUACGGGAGGCAGCAGUAGGGAAUCUUCGGCAAUGGGCGAAAGCCUGAUGGAGCAAUACCGCGUGAGUGAUGAAGGUCUUCGGAUCGUAAAGCUCUGUUAUUAGGGAAGAACAUAUGUGUAAGUAACUGUGCACAUCUUGACGGUACCUAAUCAGAAAGCCACGGCUAACUACGUG